AGCAGCCGCGGUAAUUCCAGCUCCAAUAGCGUAUAUUAAAGUUGUUGCAGUUAAAAAGCUCGUAGUUGAAUUUCGGGAUCAAUAUGUCGGUCGUGCCUUGGUACGUACUGGUAUCAUUGGUCUCUCCUUUCUGACGAACCAUGAUGUCAUUAAUUUGGUGUUAUGGGAAGUUAGGACUGUUACUUUGAAAAAUUAGAGUGUUUAAAGCAGGCUUUAGCUUGAAUACAUUAGCAUGGAAUAAUGAAAUAGGACGUUCGAACCUAUUUUGUUGGUUUCUAGGAUCAGCGUAAUGAUUAAUAGGGAUAGUUGGGGGCAUUAGUAUUCAAUUGUCAGAGGUGAAAUUCUUGGAUUUAUUGAAGACUAACUACUGCGAAAGCAUUUGCCAAGGAUGUUUUCAUUAAUCAAGAACGAAAGUUAGGGGAUCGAAGACGAUCAGAUACCGUCGUAGUCUUAACCAUAAACUAUGCCGACUAGGGAUCGG
rnacentral:rRNA from 1 species